UACGAGUGCCUCAAGCGUUAUCCGGAAUUAUUGGGCGUAAAGGGUGUGUAGGUGGUUUUAUUAGUCUUUUGUCAAAACUAUCGGCUUAACCGAUAGCUUGCAAGGGAAACGGUAAGACUUAGAGUGUGCGAGGGGUCUGUGGAACUCAUAGUGUAGCGGUGAAAUGCGUUGAUAUUAUGGGGAACACCAAAAGCGAAGGCAGCAGACUGGAGCAUUACUGACACUGAAACACGAAAGCGUGGGUAGCGAAUGGG
rnacentral:rRNA from 1 species